ensembl:lncRNA
UUCAUUUAUAGGAUUUAGAAAAACAGAAUUCAUGAGAUGGCUUUAACAUUAUAUAAAAAAAACUAGUCAUAAAAACAAUGGAUAUAAAAUGUUUUGAUAAUGGAAAGAUUUACAAUUGGAAUCAUAUAUAUUUUUACCAAAAUCUUAUCCUGUCACAAUAUACAAUGAUAAUAAGCUAUACAUCUUUAAAAUAUUUUAAGAUACUUCUGUGGGAGGAAUUCAGUCAUUCCCUGAAUAUCUAGGAUGAAAAUGUAACAACAUCAAGGCUGAUCUGGUAGGGGCCUCUUUCAGGUAAAAGAAAAUGGAUCACUAAUAGUUCAUUAGGCUCCUAUUAAAUUAGGUGAACUGCCAAACUGUUACGCAUUUAUGCAUUGCAUACAGUGCAGAGUAAAAAAGGAAUCUGCACCUUCAAGCUAGUAUUUCUCUUUUGCAGUUGCAAGUUUUCAACUUGGCAGUGUCAUUCUCUAAAAAGAAUAGGUGCAGGAGAGGGUAAAAAUGGAAAACAGAAUUGAUUUCAAAAAACGGAAUCCUCCCCUGAUUAAGUAUAACUUAUUUACCAUUCUAAUACGAAAGCUUUGACAAAAUAGAGAAACUUAAAACCAAAUGUAACUUUUGUUAUCCUAAAAACGAGUAUGUCAGGACAGCCAUUUUACAGUCUUGCAUUUUCAAAUACCUACUACACGAUACAACUUGUAUUUUUUUUAAAAAUCUUUCCUUUAGGUUAAAAAAAAAAAGCACCAUUUAUACACUCAUCAUUCAAGCUACAAGCUUCAAGGCAGGAUUGCUACUGAGCUUCUUAACACAACUGUCAAAAUCAAUUUGUGGACAAUCUCCAACUUAAUUUUCUAUAUUUUUAUCUGUGGAAGAACGGAACUGAUUAGUGAUGAUUAAGGUAACGUGCUUAAAACUAUGCAAUCCUUGUAAAAUCCAGCUGAUUCUUAAAAUCUGAAAACAAGUUAACAACCGUUUGCUUUCAAUAGGAAGAAAACCACUCCCCAAACAGGUUGCCUGUGGCGUGGGUCCGCUUCUCAGCAGCAGUUCCCUGGGGCGUGUUCGCGUGGGAGAAGUACAGAAGGGCAGAAGUGCAAAAAACACAGACCCACGCAAAACCCGUACAGUUAUGUAAACAUGUCGUGAAACCACGAAUCCCCAAGGGGAAAAAAGCCGCCUGGAGACAGCGAUCAGCCGCCGGAGUGUGGAGGCGGUGGUGGGUGCGGGCCCGGGACAAAGAGCGGGCAUCCGGGGCAGCGCCCGACGGUGCCCAGAACCCGCGGGGAGCAGCUGUGCCGGGGCCCUCAAACGCCGCGGUUCAAACAGUCAGCUCCCUGAGGCGCAGACCUUCUUCCUGCCACCCCUCAGGGGCUACGGGCCCUAACCUCGGACACCUGAAGAGCCGCCGCCCGCCCCCUGUCCGGAUCCCCAAGAACGCCUGGGCCAGCAGCUGUUGGGCUUGGAACCGCGCCGCCGCCGCCGCCGGGCUCCAAACGGCCAGGCUGGCACCGAUGAGGCGGCGGCGCCUCUCCCCGCGGCCGUCAGGCAGCUUGCGAACAGCCUGCCCCAGUUCCCGCCCUCCAGUCAGGGGCCGCGCACCCUCACGCCACCUACCCGGUCCCACACCAUCCCAGAGGCCUCCGGCGCUCGGGCCCUCUGCCGAAGCGGCGCUGCCUCCCGUCCGGGGCCUGAAAUGGCUGCGGAACAAAGAGAAUCUGGGCUCCGGCAAGCGCCGGUCCGAUUGGACGGGGGGCGGGGCCCGCCGCGGGAACGUUCGGCGGCGGUCGCCUUGGCAACGGCGCCGGGGCUGGGGAAAACCGCGGCCGGGGGACUGCGGGGCCUAA